rnacentral:pre_miRNA from 1 species
AUUUCGAUGCCGGUGGAUGACGGGGCUCAGCACCGUCAUCCAUCGGCAUCGAAAUCA